rnacentral:rRNA from 1 species
AGAACGAACGCUGGCGGCAUGCCUAACACAUGCAAGUCGAACGAGACCUUCGGGUCUAGUGGCGCACGGGUGCGUAACGCGUGGGAAUCUGCCCUUAGGUACGGAAUAACAGUGAGAAAUUACUGCUAAUACCGUAUGAUGUCUUCGGACCAAAGAUUUAUCGCCUAGGGAUGAGCCCGCGUUGGAUUAGCUAGUUGGUGGGGUAAAGGCCUACCAAGGCGACGAUCCAUAGCUGGUCUGAGAGGAUGAUCAGCCACACUGGGACUGAGACACGGCCCAGACUCCUACGGGAGGCAGCAGUGGGAAUAUUGGACAAUGGGCGAAAGCCUGAUCCAGCAAUGCCGCGUGAGUGAAGAAGGCCUUAGGGUUGUAAAGCUCUUUACCCGGGAAGAUAAUGACUGUACCGGGAGAAUAAGCCCGGCUAACUCCGCGCCAGCAGCCGC